rnacentral:piRNA from 1 species
UCAUGACCUUGUCCUCCACAGACUUA